rnacentral:rRNA from 1 species
GACGAACGCUGGCGGCGUGCCUAAUACAUGCAAGUAGAACGCUGAAGGAGGAGCUUGCUUCUCUGGAUGAGUUGCGAACGGGUGAGUAACGCGUAGGUAACCUGCCUGGUAGCGGGGGAUAACUAUUGGAAACGAUAGCUAAUACCGCAUAAGAGUAGAUGUUGCAUGACAUUUUCUUAAAAGUUGCAAUUGCAUCACUACCGGAUGGACCUGCGUUGUAUUAGCUAGUUGGUGAGGUAACGGCUCACCAAGGCAACGAUAGGUAGCCGACCUGAGAGGGUGAACGGCCACACGGGGACUGAGAAACGGACCAGACUGCUACGGGAGGAAGCAGUGGGGAAUAUUGCACAAUGGGAGCAAGCCUGAUGCAGCGACGGCGCGUGAGUGAAGACGGCCUUCGGGUUGUAAACCUCUUUCAGUAGGGAAGAAGCGAACGUGACGGUACCUGCAGAAGAAGCACCGGCUAACUACGUG